CCCUCCUUUGAACGUCAGAGCCAGGAGCUGGAGGAUGAAGCCGCAUCCAGCUUCUGUCUCUUGUGCCUCCCAGAGAGCACCUGUGAUUUUCGCCAUCUCACAUGCAACAGUGGGAGCUGCAGUGCUUGAGAUAAUCUGAUGAUUGGUUUGACUCUCAGCUGCUCUGAAUCACAUACCAUCAAACACACAAAGACCAUCUGAUUCAGCAGCAUCUACAGUUAUGUCGUGGCUGUUCCUGGACUGGUUCGUCCCCCUCUACCUACUUGUGUCAGUUUUGGUGUUGGCAGGCUUCGGAGCGUGCCUAUACUUCCUAGAGCCCGGGCUACAGGACGCCCACAAGUGGAGCAGCAAAACAGCCCGGCAUCACCCGCUGGUGGCCAGUGUGAACUGCAGAGAUGACGAUAGCAAUGCCCUCAUAUGAUCAAGAGGGCGAGGCGGCAGACCAUCUGGACAGGGGUGCUGCCAGGACAACAGUGAGAUGGGAGCCAAUACCUUAAAGAUAGAGAAAGAAGAUGGAAGAAAAGAUAAUGCAAGUCCUGUCUUAUCAUUCCAACUUUUCUCUGAUCUUUGUAGAUUUAUACUGUAGAGAUCAGAGAAAAGUAAAGAUCUGAAGAAUUUUAAAAUGACACCAAAUGCACAAAGACAAGAAGACUAAAUAUAGAAGGAGACUGUGAGGUGAUCGGAGGACAUGACGCCCUUUAGAAAUAUGUUUGGAACGUGAUGUAAAUUUCAUGCCAUCUUAUACUUGUGCCAACUUUUACAUACAUUUUGUAAUUUGACAAUCGCUUUACAUACAGUACAUCAUGACAUUCACUUAUAUUGUGCAUUUAUUAGUGAAGUGAACGACAUAAGUGCAAUGAAUUUGUUGCCAGUGGGGAGGGUUUUUAAUGACCUCUCUGGCGAUGCCAGCAUGGCAGCUGCUGAUAAGCAUGUGGAGUAUUAGUGCCACUGUGCCAACAUGGUGUAGUAGUGAUUUUAUUCAAAUAACAUGCACCAUAUAAAUCCAGCUGGUUCAUUCAAGGUGCCAACAUUAUUCUAGAUGGAUCAAGAUUACAGAAACAUAGUAUUUGGUAAUGCUCAAGGUGUAUAUUUUUUGUUUUAAUUAUUUUUACUUGACAGCAUGGUGAGGAAACUGUGGGUGUGUGACAACCCUCUUUUGAUGAUCAUAUCCUUCCUUUGUUCAUACAAAAAUAAAACUGUGUAAUCUUCA